UAAAUCGUUCAUUAUUACUUUGAAAUGAGCACAAAGAAGCCGAGCAGAAACCUGAAGUAAAUAAACCGAGGUUAUGUGGGUUGAACACCGUUCUUCCAGACAUCAUCACUAAAAUACAGUCAGCUUUAUGUUCUUCGCUGCAGCUCCAUGGAAGCAGCUCAAUCACGACUAGAAAGUUUACUUUUUUUUUUGGAUUAUUUGGUUUACAAAAAAAGGAAAAAAAUGUAAUCAAAAUGUAAUAAAUGUGUUCAAGUUCCCACAGGAGUUACCAGAACUGGAAAACCUCAAAGCCAGUAUGAGUACAUCCAUCUAUCCAUCCAUCUGUCCAUCCAUCCAUCCAUCCAUCCAUCAUCCAGCCAUCCAUCAUCCAUCCAACAUCCAUCCAUCUAGCCAUCCAUCAUCUAGCCAUCCAUCAUCCAUCCAUCUAGCCAUCCAACAUCCAGCUAGCCAUCCAUCAUCCAUCCAUCCAACAUCCAUCCAUCCAUCUAGCCAUCCAUCAUCCAUCCAACAUCCAUCCAUCCAUUAUCCAUCCAUCCAUCAUCCAUCCAUCCAACAUCCAUCCAUCCAUCCAUCCAUCUUCUUCCUCUUAUCCAGGGUCUUGGAGGCAGCAGAUGAAGCAGGUCAUUCCAGACGUUCCUCUUCCCAGCAACACUUUCCAGCUCUUCCUGGAGGAUCCUGAGGUGUUCCUAGGCCAGAUGAGAUAUAUAAUCCCUCCAAAGGGUUCUGGGUCUACCCCGGGGUCUCCUCCCAGGAGGAUGUGUUCAGAAAACCUCCAAAGGAAGUCUUCCUGGAGGAUCUGAAUCAGAUGUCCAAACCACCUCAGCUGGUUCCUUUAGAGGUGAAGGAUCAGCAGCUCUACUCUGUGCUCCCUCUGGAUGUCUGAGCUUCUCCCCCUGUCUCUAAGGCUGAGUCCAGCCACCCUACAGAGGAAGAUCAUUUCAGCCGCUUGUAUCCACGAUCUCAUUCUUUGGGUCACUACCCAGAGCUCAUGACCAUAGGUGAGGGUUGGAAUGAAGAUGGACGGUAAAUUGAGAUCUUCUCCUUGCUGCUCAGUUCCCUCUUCACCACGACGGUUUGGUACAACGCCUACAUUACUGCUGACGCUGCACCAAUCCUCCUGUCCAUCUCUCGCUCCAUUUUCCCAUCACUCCUGAACAAGAUCCUGAAAUACUUGAACUCCUUCAUUUGGGGAAGCAACUCCCCCCCAACCUGGAGGGAGAAAUCCACUGGUUGAGAGAACCACGGCAUCAGACUUGGAGGUGCAGCUCUGAGGAACCAGAUGUUCUUGUUUGUUCCGAGAUCCAAGCAGAAGAACCGAUAUGUGGAUCAGUUCUGAAACAUUCGCUAAAGCUCAAACAACAGUCACACAGGAAGAUCUCCUCAGCACACUUCCAACAUCAUUAGAGAUGAGCUGAAAGGAAGCGGUGGAUCAGGGAGAAGAGUGAAACUCUCAGCUGCUUUGUGUAACAACGAGAGGCUGAGCGAAGCCUCGUCUCUGGUCCUCGGCCAGCUGUGAUCAAAUAACUGGAAGUUGGGAGCUCUCAUCAGUCCACGGCUAAUGGUCUGUGGAAAGUGCUACAGAGACUCUUAUCACACCGGAGAUGGAACUUGAGGUUUUUUGGGUUCAUGCCCAGGCAGGGGAGGCUAUUUGGCUUCCAUUUGCAUCACAGUGUGCCCCCAUUCAGAUGACAGCGACUGACAGGAUCAUUUUUCUCCACAACAGACUCAGAAAGAGCAGAAAAAGUAUCUGGGAUUGACAGUGAGUGAUUCUCUGUCUGUUUCACAAAACUUGUUCAAACUUUGGAAGUGCUGGGCUCUUGGCCCGGCAGAAACAUUUACUCUAAUUAUUCCAGGCCUGAUUUCAGCCACAGAUUAGUCACCUCGGCGCUGCGCUAUGGAUUCAAUUUUAGAAAUGAACCUGGAGCUAGAUGGCACGCAGUAACAGAGGGUUUAAAAUAAGGACACCUGAGAGAGGAGAUAAAGGCUGGAGAAAGAAGAUCUGAAUCCAUUUGAGGAGCUUGAAAAAUGUUUGUUUGAUGAGAACAGAAAGAUACCUCCUCAAAACCAAACCUCCAAAAACACUGUUUGAAUGAAUGAACAGUCCUCUGAAACUCUGAUUAUUCUACAUCCAUCUUGGAAACAUCUGAGCUCUAGAUUUCUUUGUGUGUGUUAAUUAGUAAAUGGGUGUGAGAUAGCAGCAUCGUUUCCUUUUAAAAGACUAAUUCACAUCUGGUGAGUUCAAUUAUGCAUCCACAGCAGAUUGUAAAGACAAAACUCAAGGAUCAAGUGAUUAUUUAAGAGCUGUCAGGGCUGCUGUCUGUUCUGCUGUACUGUAAAAAUAAAUAAAUUAAUAAAUAAAAAUGGUAAUAUUCUGGCAACUGGGGUUAGAGCAAAACACUAAUUUUCAGGAUUAAAAUACAGUUUCAAGCCUUAAUUUUAUAUCAGCUCAUUUUGGUUUCUUGGCAUUUUUAAAACUAUGAAAUUAUCCUGACUAUAUAAUAAUAAUUUUAUUACCCUACCUAACUUACCCUAACCCUGUACUCAAAAAUCCAGAUUCACACGUGCCAUUUAAUUGUGUGAUUUAGUGGUGUGGGCCCUCUGCAGCAUCACCAUGACGACUCACUUUGUGCACCAUUUUUAGAUAAUGGCUUCAGUUGUGGUUGUGCUGUAAUUAGGCAUCCCAUGUAUUAACUGUAUUCCUGUAAAUCUCCAUAGCAUCAUUAAUUACAGCUGCAACCUUGACACAGUCCGUUAUUACUGCGCCAAGGAAAUCAGUGGAGUUAUGUGAAGAUCAGCUUCCGUCUGUCUGUCUGUCUGUCUGUCUGUCUGUCUGUCUGUCAGCAACAUUAGUCUAAAACAGACUAAUGGAUUUGGAUGAAAUUUUCAGGGAAGGUCAGAAAUGACUCACGGACCAAGUGAUUAGAUUUUAGCAGUGAUGUGGCUUAUAGUCUGGAUCCACAGAUUUGUUAAAGAUUUCUGUAUCGUUGCCAGAUCGCGGCACAGCGUCACUGUAACCAUGACAACAAGUGAACACUACAUCAGCUGCCUGCUGAUGAUCACAUGAUUGUGAUCCUACUAUAAAUCCACUGCUGAGGACUUAUCAGGACUUAUCCAUCAGAAAGGAUACAAGGACUGAGCAGCCUUGGAGGGGGACUGAGCUCUCUGAGGGCUGUUCUUGUCUUAUAAAAGUGAAACUGGUGAUUGUCUGACCAAUGAGAAUUUGGUUGAUUAGAGCAUGUUGACCAACCAAACAAUCCAUUCACACUACGGCGAUUUUCUGUUUGGGUUUAAUGACAUCAUCUCUUCAUGUCAUUUUCUUCAGUUUUAUAGCACUGAUUGGAGGAAAAGCCCCAAAAGCAGAUAGAAACAAGCAUGAAGUUGAACAUUUUCAGGAAAUCUGCUGAAAAUUUGAGCUACAUUUGGAUGGAGACUUGACUCUAGAUUAAAUGUAGGUCAAACCAAUGAUCAUCCCUGCGUGAACACCACGUCAGCUGCCUCGAUUUUACGAUGCCAUGAUUGCGAUCCUACUACAAAUCAUACCAAAUCAUAUGAGGAACAACUGAUUAAUUUGUGAGAGUGUUUCUGAGUCUCAUCAAUUCCCGCUGCCCGCUACAUAUUUAGAUCACGUGAUCCGGUAUCCAUACAUAACGUACACAUGCAGAACACACGCCUGUACUCAGAGCAAGGUCAUUUUUUAUUAAAGAUUAAAAUGAAACAAGGACUGAGCAGCCUUGGAGGAGGACUGCUCUCUAUGUGCAGUGACUUAAUGUGAAGAUGAGGUAUGAUGGAAAUCAGGUACUUCUGACAAAAAUCACUUCAAAGUCAAAGUGAAGACCCGAUGCUCUGCAGAAAUCCCUCACAGCGACGAGGGUCAACAGGACCAUCAGCUGCAUGUGAUAAAGCAGGACCUCCACAGUCUUUGGUCCACGUCCUAUCUGAUCUCCUGCCUCUUAUCUGCUAAUGAAGGCUUUUAGAGGAGCACAACCUGAAUACCUUAUUAACGCAAUUCUACCAAAAUAAGUAAGUAGCUGAUGGUGUGUGGGCAGCAGUGGAUCAGAGGGCGGCUGGACGCAGGAACAUAUGGUCAGUAGUAUGGAGAUGGAAGGAGGCAAUCUGCCAGCAGCUGCAGUAAAGACGAGCAGACAGAACACAGCUAUUAUGCAGCACAUUUACGACACCCACACAUGAAUUCAGUGAGAAAAUAUGCUGAAACAUAAUUGCUGGACAGCGAUCCAUCUGCACAAUUUACAUACGCUAAUGAGGCACCAGAAAAAGCCCCAGCUCUCUUUCAUCCUGUUUCCAACUGUAUUCAUCAGAGCAGUCCAGAAGCAAUGGCUGCAGACAAACACCUCAAUAUGCUCAUUUAUGAUAAUAAUUAAACAGUUUGAUCAACAAGUUAUUUACUGUACAUUUAUAUCGAACAUCUAUUAGCCUCUGCUUUAAAACUAUUAGAAAUGACAGAAGUCUACAUAUCUCCCCCACAUGCUGCAGGUUGAGGGUUUAUAUGCUCCAGAUAGUUCAUGGUAGCACCUGAUGGCUAAUACUAGCGCCUCUGGGCCCCAGAUAAUUUCUUACAGCUACCGUUAGCUCCUAUGAAUUUCUGUCAUCUCCUAUGAGCUACAGUGAGCUCUUGUUAGCUCCAGUUAGCUUCUUUAAGCUCCACUUAGCUCCUGUUAGCUAUAGAUAGUAAUAUAUUAACUCUAGAUAGCUUCUCUUAGCUCCAGUUAGCUUGUCUGACCAGUUAGUGCCUGCUAAUUUCAUAUAUUAGCUCCUGAUGGAUCUUGUCAGCUUUUAUUAGCCUCAACUAGCCACUGGCCACAGUUAGCUCGUAUUAGCUUCAGUUGUUUCUAGUUAGCUCUAAUUCUCUUUUGUUAGCCCCUGGUCGAUCUUGUUGUGUUUGUCAGCGUCAGAUAGCAUGUUUGAGUUCCAUUUAGCUCCAGUAGCCUCUGAUUAGCUCCUAUUAGCACCUUUUACCUUCAUAAUAAAUAUUUGUCAUUUAACAAACAAAUCUCUAUACAGCUGCAGAUCUUAUGUUUAUUGU